rnacentral:rRNA from 1 species
CGGUAAUACGAAGGGGGCUAGCGUUGCUCGGAAUUACUGGGCGUAAAGGGAGCGUAGGCGGACAUUUAAGUCAGAGGUGAAAUCCCGGAGCUUAACUUCGGAACUGCCCCCGAUACUGGGUGUCUUGAGUGUGAGAGAGGUAUGUGGAACUCCGAGUGUAGAGGUGAAAUUCGUAGAUAUUCGGAAGAACACCAGUGGCGAAGGCGACAUACUGGCUCAUUACUGACGCUGAGGCUCGAAAGCGUGGGGAGCAAACAGGAUUAGAUACCCCGGUAGUCCACGCCGUAAACGAUGAUUGCUAGUUGUCGGGAAGCUUGCUUCUCGGUGACGCAGCUAACGCAUUAAGCAAUCCGCCUGGGGAGUACGGUCGCAAGAUUAAA